GGCUUAGGUCAUCUCCAAGGCGCCUUCCAGGGCUAGUACCCUGUGAAGAUCAGAUAAGCAUGCAGACGGGUAACAGGAUCCUUCCACUCCAGGACAGGCAGGAGCCUGUAAUUCCACAGGGGGCCGCGGGGUGGCAGGUGGGAAGGAGGCAGGCCCAUGCAGAGCCGCCUUGGCUUUGCAGAGCGAAGGGAGGGCCUGGAUUCUAUCCUCACUCAGGGUCAGUCUUUUCUCUAAACUGGGCAAUGUUAGAAGACUCAGGUGAAAGAGCAGCUCCCGCUUCCCAGGCUGCCUGCGGCCCCCAGAUGCAAAGCCAGCAGCAGGAGGCUUCAGGAGAGAUCGGCUGCCAGCUGAACCAAGAACUACAGGCUUUAGACGAUGGAUAAGAGAACCGCCCAUGGGGAGGACACCUAUCAGCUUCCUCUCAGAAAAAGAAACGUGGCCUUAGCUUGGAAAGUCAACUACAUUCAUAUGAUGUAUUUAACCAGACCCCUAAGAAGGCUUCCCUGGUAGCUCAGACAGUAAAGAGUCUGCCUGCAAUGCAGGAGACCCGAGUUUGAUCCCUGGGUCGGGAAGAUCCCCUGGAGAAGGAAACGGCAACCCACUCCAGUAUUCUUGCCUGGAAGAUCACAUGGAUGGAGGAGCCUGGCGGGCAGCACCCCAUGGGGUCGCAAAGAGUCAGACAUGGGUCAGCAACCAACACACACACACGUCACCCUAAGAAGCCUCCACGCGCUCUGCUGUGCAAACUGUGUCAGGCCCUGAAGACAGUCUGGGCCCUGGGACCGGCCGCAGCAGUGCUUGUACCUGACAGACGUCUCCUCGAGCAACAAAAUACAAAGAUACUGAAGGGCCGGGACUAAAAAUAGCUGCAGGCACGCCCAGCCGAGAAGGUUAUGAACAGCAAGAUGCAAAAAGGGCACUUCCGAGGCGCCGGAGCAAAGGCGGGUCCUGUGCAUGGUCUCUGCGCACAGCGCCCCGGGGGUGGGGGGGCAGACCACCUAAGCCACCCUCCAGUCUGCCCCACGCUCACCCCAUUUAAGGGGCCGGCCCACCCUCCUCAGGGAACACCC
ensembl:lncRNA